rnacentral:lncRNA from 1 species
GGCGGAUCCCAGACGGCCCCAAGCAAACCAGGACGGGCGGGGGGAGGGAGGCCCGGAGGAGGGCCCGAAACACCAGACCGGGCGGGCGGAGGGAGGCCCGGAGGAGGGACCGGGCGCAGCAGACCAGGAGUGCCUCCGGCGGACGGCCAGGAGGCGGCAGACGGACCAGGAGUGCCUCCGGCGGACGGCCAGGAGGCGGCAGACGGACCAGGAGUGCCUCCGGCGGACGGCCAGGAGGCGGCAGACGGACCAGGAGUGCCUCCGGCGGACGGCCAGGAGGCGGCAGACGGACCAGGAGUGCCUCCGGCGGACGGCCAGGAGGCGGCAGACGGACCAGGAGUGCCUCCGGCGGACGGCCAGGAGGCGGCAGACGGACCAGGAGUGCCUCCGGCGGACGGCCAGGAGGCGGCAGACGGACCAAGAGUGCCUCCGGCGGACGGCCAGGAGGCGGCAAACAGGACCGGAGAGGCGACGAACCAGAAGACAGAGCCUCGGGCGGACGGCCGGGAGGCGACGAACCAGAAGACAGAGCCUCGGGCGGACGGCCGGGAGGCGACGAACCAGAAGACAGAGCCCCGGGCGGACGGCCGGGAGGCGACGAACCAGAAGACAGAGCCUCGGGCGGACGGCCGGGAGGCGACGAACCAGAAGACAGAACCUGAGACCCUUGAGCCGGCUGGAGAACCGGGGACCGGAAAGCCAGUCGGAGAGCAGGCCGAGGACCCCCAGGCCGGGGGCCAGGAUACGACCCACGGGGCAGGAGACCCGCAGGCGGACUGCCGGAUGGCGAGCAGUGAGCCAGGGAACAGCAAGACGGCUGAGGACUCCCAGGCGGACUGCCCAGCAGCGACGAACAAGGCUGGAGAGCCCCGGGCGGACUGCCCGGCGGCGACGAACUUUGAGCCAGCUGGAGCUGAGGGGCCAGAACAGGACCACAGUUCUCAGGGGCCCCCCAAGGAGACAGGAGCAGGGUGGUGGUGUCCUCAUUGUCAUCCCACCACAUCUCCUGGGGUGACAAACAAAGUUCAAAGUCAAGAGACGGCGACGACGGCGACCUCUGCGUCGACCCGUCCGGAGACUGAAGAGACGGCGACGACGGCGACCUCUGCGUCGACCCGUCCGGAGACUGAAGAGACGGCGACGACGGCGACCUCUGCGUCGACCCGUCCGGAGACUGAAGAGACGGCGACGACGGCGACCUCUGCGUCGACCCGUCCGGAGACUGAAGAGACGGCGACGACGGCGGCCUGUGCGUCGACCCGCCUGGGAACCCGGCGGCUGCAGGGACCGGAGCAGCAGCUGACACCAGAGCAGCGGUGACUGCAGCAAUCAAGGUGGCUGCAACUGCGGCGACAGCUGAAGGACCAGGAACAGAAGCCAG